CUUCACCGACCCCAGCAGCAGCGGUACGUCCCGGUCCUGCCCGUACGUCGUCAGCAGCGCCUGCGCCUC
rnacentral:antisense_RNA from 1 species